rnacentral:rRNA from 1 species
AUUGAACGCUGGCGGCAGGCUUAACACAUGCAAGUCGAGCGGAGCGAGGGUGCUUGCACCUUAGCUUAGCGGCGGACGGGUGAGUAAUGCUUAGGAAUCUGCCUAUUAGUGGGGGACAACAUUCCGAAAGGAAUGCUAAUACCGCAUACGCCCUACGGGGGAAAGCAGGGGAUCUUCGGACCUUGCGCUAAUAGAUGAGCCUAAGUCGGAUUAGCUAGUUGGUGGGGUAAAGGCCUAGCAAGGCGACGAUCUGUAGCGGGUCUGAGAGGAUGAUCGGCCACACGGGGACUGAGACACGGCCCAGACUCCUACGGGAGGCAGCAGUGGGGAAUAUUGGACAAUGGGCGGAAGCCUGAUCCAGCCAUGCCGCGUGUGUGAAGAAGGCCUUUUGGUUGUAAAGCACUUUAAGCGAGGAGGAGGCUACUUAGAUUAAUACUCUGGGAUAGUGGACGUUACUCGCAGAAUAAGCACCGGCUAACUCUGUGCCAGCCGCCGCCGUAA